rnacentral:rRNA from 1 species
CUAGGAUUAGAUACCCUAUUAUUUAAAAUUUAAAAACUAAAGUAUUAAUAGUUAUAGUCUUUAAAUUUAAAAAAUUUGGCGGUAUUUUAGUCUAUUCAGAGGAACCUGUUUUAUAAUCGAUAUUCCACGUUGGACCUUACUUUAAUUUAUAAAUUAGUUUAUAUACCGUUGUUAUAAAAAAUUUUAUGAGAAUAAUAAUUUUUAAAGUUAUAUAUCAGAUCAAGGUGUAGCAUAUAUUAAAGGAAAUUAUGGGUUACAAUAAAAUUAUUUAUAUGGAAAUUAAUAUGAAAAAUUAGUGGAAAGAGGAUUUGAUAGUAAAGUUAUAUAGAUUAAUAAUUUGAUUUUAGCUCUAAAAUAUGUACAUAUCGCCCGUCACUCUUAUUAUUAAAAUAAGAUAAG